GCUGGGUGUGGUGGUGGACACCUGUAAUCCCAGCUACUUGGGAGGCUGAGGCAGGAGAAUCACUUGAACCCGGGAGGCUGAGGUUGCAGUGAGCCAAGAUGGCGCCAUUGCACUCUAUCCUGGGUGACAAGAGUGAAACUCCGUCUUGGAAAAAAAGAAGAAAAGAAAAAUAUUACACUAGGACCGAGUGCAGUGGUGUGGGAGGAUUGCUUAAGGCCAGCCUGGGCAACGUAGUAAGACCCUGUCUCU
rnacentral:sRNA from 1 species